rnacentral:lncRNA from 1 species
UUGAUCAAGACAGGCUAUCGUUCACCGAGCGUUUGUCCACGUCAGAUCACGGCCACAAAUGCCACAGUCCAAGUCUCUCCGCCCCGCAACCAUCACUUCGAUGGCUAAAGUGCGAAACCACAUAUCUCCAUUGCGGAGUUUCAAAGUGUCCUCUCCUAUUUUAGUUUUUCGAAGAGUGACAAGCCAACUUAAUUUCUUGAAAGUUAAGUAGGGAAUUUUGCUUACAGAGAGAAUCAAGGGAAUUUUCAAGAAAUUAUGUUGACUUAGUUGUCAAAGAAGAAAAAAGUAUGACAGGAGGUCGUCACCUUCCGGUCAAUAUAUCACAAGUGCCAUGCGACGUUUAAAAAUUUUCGCCGCCAUUUUAUAUUUUCACAGAGAAAUUGUUCAACAAAACUGUCCGAAAAUUUUACCGAAAUUCUUUUGUGCUGCCGAUAAAAUUUAGUAAAAUUUUCGAACAGAUUCAACCAACAAUUCCUCUGCGAAAAAAUAAAUUGGCGGUGGAAAUUUUGAAACGUCGCAUGGCGCUUGUACGCUGUACAUUAUAAACGGAGAUACGUUGUUCCGCACUUUGGCCGUCGAAUUGAUUGAGCUAGAGUCUGGUCACACCUGAUUAAGUACUAAUAAACCAUCGGUUAGUAUGGGUUCAUGAAGUAACCUUGAUGCUCUGCUAGUCCCUUAGUCGGCUUCGAAAAGGUGCCUGCACUCUUUCCAUUUCCUUGCACUUGAUAUUAUGUAAAUCUUGUAGUCCAGAAGUAGGAGCGUUCUUUUUCUCCCCAGCCGAAGCCCCGGUUUUGACCUUGCGUCGCUGGACGCUACGCAUGCCCGCGCUGGUGAGUAUGCAAAUGGUUUUGACUAAUCGUGCGAUGAGUCUGCAGCCGCUGAAGUUCAGUGUAACUCCGUGGUAAUGCUCUCUAAAGCUCCAAAGCCCCUUCUCAGGAUUUUCUUCAAUUUUUCUCGACAAAAAAGCAUAACAUUUUUAUCCGCGCGCAUAUCACUGCUCAUAAUUGGCAUAAACAAAUUCAGAACGCCUCAAUUUUUGAGUGUAUGCAACACGUACUGCCCCUAACCACGAAUAGUUGCAUCCAAGGGUUAACGUCAACUCGUCUAGGCGACUGGGUGCAUUUCGUCUACUUUUAUCCCCGGGUAAGUGCAGAAUUGGUGUAUUUAUACUAAAAAAAACUGAGACGCAUAAAAUAAAAAAGAACUGCGAGAGACAACGACAACGAGGGAUAAACAGUUCACCCGGUACCAGCCCCUAGUCUAACAAGUUUUCUAACUAAUAUGAAGAUUAAAGAAGGCACAAUAUCUUGCAUGUGGUUUUUUGAUAAAAAUUUCGCAAUUUUCAUGUGCUGCUAUCUCUCUCAAUUGCGGAUAGCUAAAUUGUUUAAUGUCUCGAAAAUAAAUUUGACCAGAGUUGCAGAGCCAGGCCUAGGAUAAAUCGCAUCACUCUUAACAAAAUAUCGUUUAACAUUGGGACCAACAAGCACUAAAGCCUGAUUGUUCCUAAACUUACCAUUUUAUCUCCACGUAUUAUCACCACUUUGAUAUGUUUUAAAAGUAAUUUUUUGUU